rnacentral:rRNA from 1 species
UACGGAGGGUGCGAGCGUUGUCCGGAAUCACUGGGCGUAAAGGGCGCGUAGGCGGCUCGGUAAGUAGGGGUGAAAUCCUGCGGCUCAACCGCAGGGCUGCCUUCUAAACUGUCGAGCUCGAGCACGGUAGAGGCAGAUGGAAUUCCCGGUGUAGCGGUGGAGUGCGUAGAGAUCGGGAAGAACAUCAGUGGCGAAGGCGGCCUGCUGGGCAGUGGCUGACGCUGAGGCGCGACAGCGUGGGGAGCAACAGG